GGUUUCUGCCCACCAAGAAGAACAACCGUAUGUAUGAAAUUGAUAGAGAGAUUCGGGCCCUUUUGAGUAGAAUGAUUGAGCAGAGAGAGAGGGCAAUGAGAAAGGCAGGGGUUAGCAAUGAUGACCUGCUAGGGUUGCUGAUAGAAUCAAAUCUUAGGUACUCCCAAGAACAAGGAGGCUCCAAGAAUACUGGGAUGACCAAGGAUGAUGUGAUCGAGGAAUGCAAGUUGUUCUAUUUUGCUGGGCAUGAGACAACGUCGGUUUUGCUGACCUGGACGGUGGUUGUCCUAGGCAUGCAUCCUAGCUGGCAGGCACGUGCAAGAGAAGAGGUUCUACAGGUCUAUGGAAAAAAUAAGCCGGACUAUGAUGGCUUGAGUCAACUAAGGAUCGUGAGUAAUAGAUUUAUUAUCCCUUGGGUAGAUUACUUUGUGUUGCAUUUCUUAUGUGGGAUUGCUUUCUGGUAGCUUCAAAUUUUAAUCACUCUCGGGGGUUUGCCACAUUUGAGCACACAAGCAACAAUAGUCGAUAACAUCCAAAAAGUUUCCAGUUGAUGCUUUAAAUCUUAAUGGUAAAUGAUGUUGUUUUAAUUCGUACUAAUAGCGACACCCAAAUCUUUCAACUUUUGCAGGUGACUAUGGUUUUGUACGAAGUUCUUAGAUUAUAUCCGGCAAUAACUUUCCUCGUACGAAGAACUUACAAGGAAAUGAAACUGGGAGAUUUCACCUUCCCACCAGGAGUGCAACUCUUGCUACCACUACUCUUCAUACAUCAUGAUCCACAAUUUUGGGGUGAUGAUGCCACUGAAUUCAAUCCAGAG
rnacentral:lncRNA from 1 species